rnacentral:tRNA from 1 species
AGAAAGCUAGUCUAACCAAGACAGUUGAUUUCGACUCAACAGAUCAUAGCUCGACUCUAUGGCUUUCUU